GGGGAUUUAGCUCAGCGGCACAAGCGCCUGCCUUGUAAGCAGGCGGUCGUGAGUUCAAUCCCCG
rnacentral:tRNA from 1 species